rfam:Echinostoma caproni strain Egypt genome assembly, scaffold: ECPE_scaffold0024715
GCACUGCUGACGAGUCCCAAACAAGACGAAACACCUGUUCAGUGC